GAUGAAGAACGUAGCGAAAUGCGAUACUUGGUGUGAAUUGCAGAAUCCCGUGAACCAUCGAGUCUUUGAACGCAAGUUGCGCCUCAAGCCAUUAGGUUGAGGGCACGUCUGCCUGGGCGUCACAUAUCGUUGCCUGAUGCCAGUUUCCUCGUGAUGGGUGACUGUGCAGGGCGAAUGAUGGCUUCCCGUGAGCAUUGUUGCCUCAUGGUUGGUUGAAAAUUGAGUCCUUGAUAGGGAGCGCCGUGAUAGAUGGUGGUUGAGUGACAAACGAGACCCAAUCAUGUGAGACCCCUACCGAAUUUGGCCUUCAUGACCCACAUGCGUCUUUGGAACGCUCAUGACGAGACCUCAGGUCAGGCGGGGCUACCCGCUGAGUUUAAGCAUAUCAAUAAGCGGAGGA
rnacentral:misc_RNA from 1 species